GUAAAAAGUAGAAUAAUAGAUUUGAAAUAUUUAUUAUAUAGAUUUAAAGAGAUAAUCAUGGAGUAUAAAUUAUUAAAUAAGAUAAGAUUUAAUAAUAACUAUUAAUAGGAUUAGGUUACUAAUAAAUUAAUAAUAAUUAAUUUAAAAACCUAAAGGUAAACCUUUAUAUUAAUAAUAUAUAUAUUUAUAUUAUUAAUAAUAAUAAGAACUAAGUGAACUGAAACAUCUAAGUAACUUAAGGAAUAUAAAUCAACAGAGAUAUUAUGAGUAUUGGUGAGAGAAAAUAAUAAAGGUCUAAUAAGUAUUAUGUAAGAAGUAUGUAAGAAAAUAGGAUAACAAAUUCUAAGACUAAAUACUAUUAAUAAGUAUAAUAAGUACCGUAAGGGAAAGUAUGAAAAUGAUUAUUUUAUAAGCAAUCAUGGAUAUAAUUUUAAUAUUAAUGAUGUACCUUUUGUAUAAUGGGUCAGCAAGUAAUUAAUAUUAGUAAAACAAUAAAGUUAUAAAUAAAUAGAAAAAGUAUAUAUAUAAAAAAAUAUAUUAAAAUAUUUAAUUAAUAUUAAUUGACCCGAAAGCAAACGAUCUAACUAUGAUAAGAUGGGUAAACGAUCGAACAGGUUGAUGUUGCAAUAUCAUCUGAUUAAUUGUGGUUAGUAGUGAAAGACAAAUCUGGUUUGCAGAUAGCUGGUUUUCUAUGAAAUAUAUGUAAGUAUAGCCUUUAUAAAUAAUAAUUAUUAUAUAAUAUUAAAAUAAUAUUAUAUAAAGAAUGGUACAGCAAUUAAUAUAUAUUAGGGAACUAUAAAAGUUUUAUUAAUAAUAUUAAAUCUCGAAAUGUUUAAUUAUAUAUAAUAAAGAGUCAGAUUAUGUGCGAUAAGGUAAAUAAUCAAAAGGGAAACAGCCCAGAUUAAGAUAUAAAGUUCCUAAUAAAUAAUAAGUGAAAAAAAUAUUAAAAUAUUAUAAUAUAAUCAGUUAAUGGGUUUGACAAUAACCAUUUUUUAAUGAACAUGUAACAAUGCACUGAUUUAUAAAAAUAAAAUAAUAUUUAAAAUCAAAUAUAUAUAUAUAUUUUUGUUAAUAGAUAAUAUACGGAUCUUAAUAAUAAUAAGAAUUAUUUAAUUCCAAAAAUGGAAUAUCAUAUUAAAUUAAUAAAAAAUAUGAAUACUGAAUAUCUAAAUAUUAUUAUUAAUAAUAAAUAAUAAUAAUAAUAUGGUAAUAGAACAUUUAAUGAUAAUAUAUAUUAGUUAUUAAUUAAUAUAUUAAUUAAUUAAAUAGAGAAUGCUGACAUGAGUAACGAAAAAAAGGUAUAAACCUUUUCACCUAAAACAUAAGGUUUAACUAUAAAAGUACGGCCCCUAAUUAAAUAAAUAAGAAUAUAAAUAUAUUUAAGAUGGGAUAAUCUAUAUUAAUAAAAAUAAUCUUAAAAUAUAUAUAUUAUUAUUAUUAAUUUAUUAAUUAAUUAAUUAAUAAUAUAUAUAAUUAUAUUUAUAUAUUAUAUAUAUAUAUAAUAUAAACUAAUAAAGAUCAAGAAAAGUAUUAAUGUAUACCGUAAUGUAGACCGACUCAGGUAUGUAAGUAGAGAAUAUGAAGGUGUAUUAGAGAAUUAAAGGGAAGGAACUCGGCAAAGAUAGCUCAUAAGUUAGUCAAUAAAGAGUAAUAAGAACAAAGUUGUACAACUGUUUACUAAAAACACCGCACUUUGCAGAAACGAUAAGUUUAAGUAUAAGGUGUGAACUCUGCUCCAUGCUUAAUAUAUAAAUUAAAUUAUUUAACGAUAAUUUAAUUAAAUUUAGGUAAAUAGCAGCCUUAUUAUGAGGGUUAUAAUGUAGCGAAAUUCCUUGGCCUAUAAUUGAGGUCCCGCAUGAAUGACGUAAUGAUACAACAACUGUCUCCCCUUUAAACUAAGUGAAAUUGAAAUCGUAGUGAAGAUGCUAUGUACCUUCAGCAAGACGGAAAGACCCUAUGCAGCUUUACUGUAAUUAGAUAGAUCGAAUUAUUGUUUAUUAUAUUCAGCAUAUUAAGUAAUCCUAUAAUUUUAGGUAAUCGUUUAGAUAUUAAUGAGAUACUUAUUAUAAUAUAAUGAUAAUUCUAAUCUUAUAAAUAAUAAUUAAUUAAUUAAUUAAUUAAUUAAUUAUUAAUACUUAAUAGAUAUAAUUUCUUAAGUAAUAUAUAAUAUAUUAUAUUAUUAUAUGUAUUAUAUAUAUAUAUAAGAGACAAUCUCUAAUUGGUAGUUUUGAUGGGGCGUCAUUAUCAGCAAAAGUAUCUGAAUAAGUCCAUAAAUAAAUAUAUAAAAUUAUUGAAUAAGAAUAAUAUAUAUUAUAUAUAUUAAUUAUAAAUUGAAAUAUAUUUAUAUUUUUAAUGAAUAUAUUUUAGUAAUAGAUAAAAAUAUGUACAGUAAAAUUGUAAGGAAAACAAUAAUAACUUUCUAUUUAUUAAUUUAUAAAAAAAGUAUAGAAAGAAUUAGAUUAAUAUAAUGGUAUAACUGUGCGAUAAUUGUAACACAAACGAGUGAAACAAGUACGUAAGUAUGGCAUAAUGAACAAAUAACACUGAUUGUAAAGGUUAUUGAUAACGAAUAAAAGUUACGCUAGGGAUAACAGGGUAAUAUAACGAAAGAGUAGAUAUUGUAAGUUAUGUUUGCCACCUCGAUGUCGACUCAACAUUUCCUCUUGGUUGUAAAAGCUAAGAAGGGUUUGACUGUUCGUCAAUUAAAAUGUUACGUGAGUUGGGUUAAAUACGAUGUGAAUCAGUAUGGUUCCUAUCUGCUGAAGGAAAUAUUAUCAAUUUAAAUCUCAUUAUUAGUACGCAAGGACCAUAAUGAAUCAACCCAUGGUGUAUCUAUUGAUAAUUUAAUAAUAUAUUUAUAAUAAAAAUUUUAUAAUAAAUAUAUUAUCUAUAUUAGUUUAUAUUUUUAUAUAAUUAUCAUAGUAGAUAAGCUAAGUUGAUAAUAAAUAAAUAUUGAAUACAUAUUAAAUAUGAAGUUGUUUUAAUAAGAUAAUUAAUCUGAUAAUUUUAUACUAAAAUUUAAUAAUUAUAGGUUUUAUAUAUUCUUUAUAUAUUAAUAAUAUUUUUUAUAAUAUUAAUAAAAUACUAAUUUAUCAGUUAUCUAUAUAAUAUCUAAUCUAUUAUUCUAUAUAC
rnacentral:rRNA from 1 species